rnacentral:rRNA from 1 species
AAACGACUCUCGGCAACGGAUAUCUCGGCUCUUGCAUCGAUGAAGAACGUAGCGAAAUGCGAUACUUGGUGUGAAUUGCAGAAUCCCGUGAACCAUCGAGUCUUUGAACGCAAGUUGCGCCUGAAGCCAUUAGGCCGAAGGCACGCCUGCCUGGGUGUCACA